CCUACGGGUGGCAGCAGUCGAGAAUCAUUCACAAUGGGGGAAACCCUGAUGGUGCGACGCCGCGUGGGGGAAUGAAGGUCUUCGGAUUGUAAACCCCUUUCAUGUGGGAGCAAAUUAAAAAGAUAGUACCACAAGAGGAAGAGCCGACUAACUCUGUGCCAGCAGCCGCGGUAAUACAGAGGUCUCAAGCGUUGUGCGGAAUCACUGGGGGUAAAGCGUGCGUAGGCUGUUUCGUAAGUCGCGUGUGAAUGGCGCGGGCUCAACCCGCGGACGGCACAUGAUACUGGGAGACUAGAGUACAGGAGGGGGAAGCGGAAUUCGCGGUGUAGCAGUGAAAUGCGUAGAUAUCGAGAAGAACACUGGUGGCGAAGGCGGGUUCCUGGACAUUAACUGACGCUGAGGCACGAAGGCGAGGGGAGCGAAAGGGAUUAGAUACCCCUGUAGUC
rnacentral:rRNA from 1 species